rnacentral:lncRNA from 1 species
UCGCGAGGAUGAGGCAGGAGAAUGGCGUGAACCCGGGAGGCGGAGCUUGCCGUGAGCCGAGAUCGCGCCACUGCACUCCAGCCUGGGCGACAGAGCGAGACUCCGUCUCAAAAAAAAAAAAAAGAAAAGAAAACAAUGUAGGAAGUUGUUAUCCUUUGUACACCUUAUUUCAAUUUCGCUGGUACUCAGAAAUAUAGCCAGUCACAGGAAAGAAUUAAUAUAUUAGACAUAGCAUCAUUGAGGUAGAUACACACAUACAUUCACCGAAAAUACUUUAAUGCAGAAACAAUGUGUGAUGAGUAUUGUUAUUUUUCUUGUUCCUACAGAAUUGAUUUCAACAAAUUUUCUUAGGUGAAACCUUCCAAGUUACAUGUUUCAGCUGUUUGAAACAAGAACUAAGGAGGCAAAUAUAGUAUUUCAAACCUCAUCACAAUUUAUUAAUGCUACAGAGAGGAAUACUGUGUUUAAUGUCCCAGGAUCUCUAUGCCAUUUGAUGCUUCAAAUCUUUUAUCUUCAUUAUCACCAUCGUCUAAUGAAACAAAAGGUAUGUGGAGUGGCCCCUUCUGUUAUUUGAGACAGUAGUAGAUCCUAAAGAUGCCAUACUUCGGCUUCUCUCAAGGAAUUUUCAGCUGGUAAGAAUUACCUUGAUGUUCCUAUUUAUUUUCCAUUUCUGAUCUACUACUAUGCAAAACUCACAGGAAGAAAGGGCUAUAUGUCUUCAGCAUGGGGAGAUGGAGUUCAAGGAAGUGAGAUGAAUUAGAAAAGGAAAAGAAAAUGCACUCAGAUAUGUAGUACCCUUUCUCUUCCUGUUAUGAGUUCCAGAGAGCUCAUGAGGGAAUCUCAUUGCUUGUUCAAAUGCCCACUCAUAGCCAAAGGCCAAAGCCCUGGUUUUCAUUUCUCAUCAUCCAACCCUAGUAGCCAUACCCAGAAGAAUACAAGGUCUUGCAUCCAGGAGUUAUAUACCACCAUGGAGACCUGGCCUAGCUUCCCAGGAAACACUGGUCAGGAGGAUACCAUUAUAGCCCAGACCAAAGUCACCCUUCAAUACAAGUUGAGAGAUGCACAAAGAAAUAAGUGCUCAGGGCAGUAUUUCUCCAGAGAGCUAUUUUGGAUUCCACAUAAGAGUAAUGGUGGCCUUGGAUAAAUCAUUCCUCUCAUUUAUGUGCUGAAUGGGAGAAAACGAGUCAACAACUGAUGCAUGCAAAAGCAUUUGGAGGUGAUGGAUGGAGACAUUAUGGUGCAUUUCGUCAAUGGCAUGCCAUUAGAGAAAACCAUUUCAUAGAGUAAAUUAAAAAACAAACCAGCUACGUGACACACUUGGAAUUGCCACUGGCCAUGUGGGUUUUUCUCCUUCAGGAAUGAAGCUACUUGGGAUUGACACUGCCAUUAGCAGGCAGACUCCCUUUCCUAGGCUAGCUGCCUGUGCUUGUCUGAGUUUUAUGCCACACCUCGCACGUCCCCAUAUCUAUGGCCACUCAUGUAACUGGAGAAACCUGUGUAUUCCAGACCCCAACUUUCUUUUAUUGUUGUCUUAACUAUUAUUUACAUCUUUUAUUACCAUUUACCUUCAUGUGUCAAUAUCUUGUUUUCUUCAUCUAGUUAUAAAGACUCUUUCAUGGUAAAUACUGGGUCUUACAAAUGAAGCUUACUAGCACAGCACCUGGCUUAUGGUGUUCAGUAAAUAUUUGUUGAUUUCAUCUGUGAUUGAUUUUGCCUAUUUUUCUCGCAUACCUAGCUGUUAUUUGCCAAAUAGUGAUUAAUUCAUUAAGAAGGUGUUUCUUCAGACCUAGAUGCUGGGAAUGCAGAUAGAAGGCAUGGUCUCUGACCUUGGGGAGCUCAUAUGCAGACACGCAACAAUCAGAACGUGGCACAGCUGGACGUAUAUGUGGGAGGCUAUGGCAGCACCAAAGGGGGGUGUUCUGGGUCAAGAAAUUACAACAGCCAAAGAUGAAACCUAAGGCAAGACAGAUGACAGCAUGAUGGAAGGAAAGAGUACACUGAGUGCCUUAUCGAUCUAUCUGCCAGCCUGUGAAUGGUGGGUAAUAAAAAUUUAUUGAAAAUUAGGGAAAAAAAUCACUUAUUCUAAUUCUUCUGAAAGGCAUUACUGAUGUUGCAUAUGAAUAAAUCCCUCCUUCCCCAGGACGAAACUACCAUCCUCCACCAUCCAACCCUCUAAACAGCACGAAUUUAAAAAUCUUGCAAUUUUAUUUGCAUA